AGUUCAUCUAUUGUGAUUUUGUCUAAAAUCUUUCGAUUGUCCCCUUCUUCCAGUGUCGGACUGGAUAAGGGAUCGAAUUUGUGUUUGUUUGUUUGUUUGUUUUUCGACGUAGUUUUCCACCGCCGCUUUGAAAGUACCAAAUAUGACCCCCUUCGUGGGAAUUAUGUAUCUUGCCAAGGGUAUUUGCAAAUGCAUUUGCUUUAUCCGCAUCGUUUGUUGUAAGUUGCCCAUUUUCUUUGAGUACAGGCUUUUCGGAUGUUUCUUUUGCUUUGCCGGUGCUAGUUAGCCUUUUAAACAUGCCCCAUUUUUCUUUCGUUUAGUAUGGAGGUAGCGGUUUCCAAACCUUUUUGUUUUUCUUUUUUGAUGGCUUCUUUGACCCGUUUUGUCAUUUAGUUAUACUCAGUACAUGAAUUUAUAAGAAGGACCUUCUUUCUUUUGAACAAGACGUCUUAAUUUUCUUUUCUCGUACUAUUAUUUUUGGGCAUGCGGUUUCUAAUGCAUCUACUAGUGUUUCGGUCACAUUCUCACAAGCUUCGUCUAUUCCAUUGGUGGUUGGUGUGACUGCGUUGCUAAUUAGAUUGUUAGUAAUUAGAUGGUUAAACAAGGUUUAUUUUUCUUGUGUUCCGUCGUAAGACAGUUGGUGCUCUUGCUAUUCGGUUAUUUCGUAUAAUUUUUACGUGUAAAGGUAGAUGGUCGCUUCCGACGUCUUUACCAGCAUAAUAGUCCGCUAUUUUCGAGUAAAGCUGAGGCGUGAAAAAAAAAAAAAAGCCAUAUCCAGAGUAUCAGUAUUGCCAUUAGUGGCCAUAUGUGUUGUUUCGCCCUCAUCGUUAUAUAGACAGAGUCAUAAAAACGAUUUUUUCUUAAAAUAUAGUUUUUGUACUUAUAUUUUAACAUCAAGUGGACUUCAGUUGUAUCAAAAAUGUACUGUUUAUAUUUUGACAGCGAACAUUUGUGAGCAGUUUUAGCCAAAACCUCUCACCCAAAAUGGGCCAAAUCUGUUCUAAUUUGCAUAACAAUAAGUUGCCCGUCGUGGUGCGAGCUGAAUACUCACUCUGCAGUUGGGCACAGCUGAGGGAAGACGCAACAUUACGUGUGGUGAAUUCACAAGUUUAAGCUUUUAUAAGACGUAGAAGCAAGUUUAUGAUAUUUGUAUGAUAAUAAAGCCAUUUCAACCCAGAGCUAUCGGCCUGUUACAGAUUACACUUGGGCAAUCUAUUUAUGCUUAAAGAUUGACAUGCUUUCAAAAAUCUUUUUGUAAGAAGCCCACGGAGAAACUGUGCAACAUGGGCCUGCAAACAUCAAGGUCUUUGGUUGACAUAUAUCAUGCUCAAUUUCAUGUAUCUCUUAUAUCAA
rnacentral:lncRNA from 1 species